GUAAUGUCUGGGAAACUGCCUGAUGGAGGGGGAGUAACUACUGGAAACGGUAGCUAAUACCGCAUAACGUCGCAAGACCAAAGAGGGGACCGUUCGGGCCUCUUGCCAUCGGAUGUGCCCAGAUGGGAUUAGCUAGUAGGUGGGGUAACGGCUCACCUAGGCGACGAUCCCUAGCUGGUCUGAGAGGAUGACCAGCCACACUGGAACUGAGACACGGUCCAGACUCCUACGGGAGGCAGCAUG
rnacentral:rRNA from 1 species